AUCAGCUUAUGCAUCAAGGCAAUUAGCGCAUUGGCGAGCCUAAAAACCGCCAUAGUCGACAUUCAAUUACUUGUGUGGGGUGCAUUUUUGUAUCAGCUGGUUAACAUCAAUUUUGGCUGUCAUAAAAAGGCUAAAGGGGAUGUGGUUCCUUCGGGAGUGUGAUAACCUUUAGCGGAAUAUGGUGGUCGGGAUUGAGGUAUGCAGCGAAUACCUUUAGGGCUGCUCAAACUGGUCUGGUCACUCCUCUUUAGUUAUCAUAUAUAUGGUGCGUUCCGCUAAUUUAGGGGUGGUUAGUCAGGUGGUGCAAAUUCGUUAAGGAUGUUAACAAAGUGGCUUU
rnacentral:rRNA from 1 species